rnacentral:rRNA from 1 species
UACGUAGGGGGCUAGCGUUGUCCGGAUUUAUUGGGCGUAAAGAGCGUGUAGGCGGCCAGGUAGGUCUGGUGUGAAAACUCGAGGCUUAACCUCGAGAUGUCAUCGGAAACCAUCUGGCUAGAGUCCGGAAGAGGAGAGUGGAAUUCCUGGUGUAGCGGUGAAAUGCGUAGAGAUCAGCAGGAACACCCGUGGCGAAGGCGGCUUCCUGGGCCGCGCCUGACGCUGAGACGCGAAAGCGUGGGGAGCGAACGGG